rnacentral:rRNA from 1 species
AACCUCUGCAAUAGGCGAAAGCUUGACAGGGUUACUCUGAGUGAUCUCCGAUAAGGAGAUCUUUUGGCAUCUCUAAAAAUGAUGCAGAAUAAGGGGUGGGCAAGUCUGGUGUCAGCCGCCGCGGUAAUACCAGCACCCCGAGUGGUCGGGACGAUUAUUGGGCCUAAAGCAUCCGUAGCCGGUUCUGCAAGUCUUCCGUUAAAUCCAGCUGCUCAACAGAUGGGCUGCGGGAGAUACUAUAGAGCUAGGAGGCGGGAGAGGCAAGCGGUACUCAGUGGGUAGGGGUAAAAUCCGUUGAUCCAUUGAAGACCACCAGUGGCGAAGGCGGCUUGCCAGAACGCGCUCGACGGUGAGGGAUGAAAGCUGGGGGAGCAAACCGG